UGCGCAGGUGGGCUUGUAAGUCAGUGGUGAAAUACUGCCGCUUAACGGUAGAACUGCCAUUGAUACUGCGAGUCUUGAGUAUGGUUGAGGUAGGCGGAAUGUGUUGUGUAGCGGUGAAAUGCAUAGAUAUGACACAGAACGCCGAUUGCGAAGGCAGCUUACUAAGCCAUUACUGACGCUGAGGCACGAAAGCGUGGGGAGCGAACAGGAUUAGAUACCCAGGUAGUCC
rnacentral:rRNA from 1 species